ACGGGAGGCAGCAGUGAGGAAUAUUGGUCAAUGGGCGAGAGCCUGAACCAGCCAAGUCGCGUGCAGGAUGACGGCCCUCCGGGUUGUAAACUGCUUUUAGUUGGGAAUAAAAGAAGGGACGUGUCCCUUAUUGUAUGUACCAUCAGAAAAAGGACCGGCUAAUUCCGUGCCAGCAGCCGCGGUAAUACGGAGGGUCCGGGCGUUAUCCGGAUUUAUUGGGUUUAAAGGGAGCGUAGGCGGGCCUUUAAGUCAGUGGUAAAAGCGUGUGGCUCAACCAUACCACGCCAUUGAAACUGGAGGUCUUGAGUGCACACAGGGAUGCUGGAAUUCGUCGUGUAGCGGUGAAAUGCUUAGAUAUGACGAAGAACUCCGAUCGCGAAGGCAGGUGUCCAGGGUGUAACUGACGCUGAGGCUCGAAAGUGCGGGGAUCAAACAGGAUUAGAUACCCUGGUA
rnacentral:rRNA from 1 species